GAAACUAAUAUAAACUAGGGUUUAUGUCCUGUAAAACGGCAGCAACACCUGCCGUUUCAACUGUUUAUUAUAAGCCCAGUCCAAAAUAUUUUGGCAGAAAAAAUUUAUUGUGGGCCGAGACCAAAAAAAGCAGGCCCAGUUGUGUAAAACGUUCCCCUCCCUUGCUGUUCUAUUCUAAGCGCCUACGUGGCGACGGAGAGAAAAUGGAAGAAAACUUGGACGGCGUCGCUCCGUGCUCCUCCCUCGCCGUCGAGGCUAUUAUUCGUGUCGGAGCGGCCGGUGCAAUCUGGGGCUUGUGCUCUGGUCCCUACGACGCUCGUCAACAGGGUCUAACAGGCAUUGCUAAAGCUUCUUUUGUGGCAAACUCGGUUCGCAGUUUUGGGAUUCGAUGCGGGUUUGUAGCCGGCGUUUUCAGCAUUACGCGAUGCGGGGUUCACAAAUACAGGGGGCGGAAUGAUUGGGUUAGCAAUGAAGGAAACAGCAUGUAUAAUUAUAAAGACAUUCCAUUCAAGUAAGCAAAGAUGAAUAGGUGUAGGCAGACAGAUGAAUAUCCUAUUCAGCCCAGGUAGUCCAAAAUUGGCAAAAAAAUAUUAAUGUCCCACAUGUGCAGUCUUCCCAGAUACAUACAUAUCCUGUUAACGGUUUGAUUGGUGGUGCUGUUGCUGGCGCCGCUGCUGCUGCUGGAACGCGAAAUUGGACACAGGUGAUUGGGAUGGCUGGUUUGGUUUCUCUUUUCUGUGCUGCAGCUGAUUAUUCCAGAACAUCUU